rnacentral:tRNA from 1 species
UUCUCAGUGGUCCAAUGAUUAGGACUCCACACUUCCACUGCAGGGAGUGCAGGUUUGAUCCCUGCUCGGGGAA